rnacentral:rRNA from 1 species
UACGUAGGGUGCGAGCGUUAAUCGGAAUUACUGGGCGUAAAGGGUGCGCAGGCGGUUUUGUAAGCCAGAUGUGAAAGCCCCGGGCUUAACCUGGGAAUGGCAUUUGGGACUGCAAGGCUAGAGUGUGGCAGAGGAGACUGGAAUUCCUGGUGUAGCAGUGAAAUGCGUAGAUAUCAGGAGGAACACCGGUGGCGAAGGCGGGUCUCUGGGCCGAUACUGACGCUGAGGAGCGAAAGCGUGGGGAGCGAACAGG